rnacentral:rRNA from 1 species
GGAUCAGACGUGAAUA